rnacentral:rRNA from 1 species
GAUGAACGCUAGCGGCAGGCUUAAUACAUGCAAGUCGAGGGGCAGCAGGACUGUAGCAAUACAGUUGCUGGCGACCGGCAAACGGGUGCGGAACACGUACGCAACCUUCCUUUAAGUGAGGGAUAGCCCAGGGAAACUUGGAUUAAUACCCUGUCAUAUUUGAGAGUGGCAUCACUUUUUAAUUAUAGCUUCGGCGCUUAAAGAUGGGCGUGCGACUGAUUAGGUAGUUGGCGGGGUAACGGCCCACCAAGCCUGCGAUCAGUAACUGGUGUGAGAGCACGACCAGUCACACGGGCACUGAGACACGGGCCCGACUCCUACGGGAGGCAGCAGUAAGGAAUAUUGGUCAAUGGACGCAAGUCUGAACCAGCCAUGCCGCGUGGAGGAUGAAGGUCCUCUGGAUUGUAAACUUCUUUUAUCUGGGAAGAAACCCAUAUUUUCUGGUGUGGUUGACGGUACCAGAUGAAUAAGCACCGGCUAACUCCGUGCCAGCCGCCGCGGUAAUAC